CCAAGUGCUGGGAAGGAAGUUGAAUUUAUUAAGUAUUUAAUGACAAAAUUUUGUUGUUAGGAGAGUCAUGUUACACCGCUUUUGUAGAUAAGCCUUGGAAAUCCUACUGACAAACGUGCCAUAUCAGAAAGGAUGUUUUAUUGCAUAGUUAAGACCCUGGGCAACAUGACAGCAUUGAAUAAAUAUGCCCUGUAUAGUGUGCGUAGUUGGAAGAACAUGUAUAUUGAUGUAAGGCCCUAUGUUAUGUAAGUGAUUUGGGAUAUUGAUUUGCUUCAGUACUUAACAUAUCUCCCCCAUUUCUCAGGUGCUUCCAGGAAGCAACCAAGUGAAACCACUCAAAAGAGACCCCUCUCCACCUAGUGAAACCAACUAAAAGAAAACUAUUCUGGUUUCUGUUCUGAACUCAUAGAAACGUGUGUGUAUACGUAUAUAUGCUCAUUUGUGUGUAUAUAUAUGUUCAUAGAAGUAGCCAUACCGAUGAUGCUAGUAAUAACCAAAGUCUGUUUUUUUGCCCAAGACUACUCAAAAAAUUGAACACAAGCUACUCUACAAUGCUAUACUGGUAGUGUUCACUCAAGCUUGAGCUGGACCAACCACAGGGUAGGGAAAAUCCAUAAUUAAUUAUCUUGGUUAUUUCACCUAUGAUCACUUGCAGCUAUUGUUAGGAGACACUUACUGCACCAGCCAGCAUUAAAAUUCCUGUUGAGAUCUGUCCCUAUACAAAGGCUACGAGCAUUUUUAGAGCGUGUCUUUCUCCACAUGCGGUCCUGAAAUAGAACGGUGAAGCACAGAUCAAAACUAAGAAAGUGCUCUAACAGUCGGCUUUUGCAGCAAUAAAUCUCUUGAGAAAGAAGAAUGUACUUACGUUUGUCCAAGUGUAAAUGUAACCAUCAAUGUUGACAACAGGCAAAACAUAGAAGUCCAAGCUGUUGAGAAGUGUGGUCAGGACAGUAUCUGUUCCAUAGGUCUCAACAGCCUAGUUAGAGAAAAGU